rnacentral:rRNA from 1 species
AUUGAACGCUGGCGGCAGGCCUAACACAUGCAAGUCGAGCGAGCGGCGGACGGGUGAGUACUGUGUGGGAAACUGCUUGAUGGAGGGGGCUAACGACAGCAAGCGGUAGCUAAUCCUGCAUACCAUCAGACGUACCCAGGUGGGGUUAGCUAGUGGGUUGGGUAACGGCUCACCUAGGCGACGAUCCCUAGCUGGUCUGAGAGGAUGACCAGCCACACUGGAACUGAGACACGGUCCAGACUCCUACGGGAGGCAGCAGUGGGGAAUAUUGCACAAUGGGCGAAAGCCUGAUGCAGCCAUGCCGCGUGUGUGAAGAAGGCCUUCGGAUUGUAAAGCACUUUCAGCGGGGAGGCGUUACCCGCAGAAGAAGCACCGGCUAACUCCGUGCCAGCAGCCGCGGUAAUAC